rnacentral:rRNA from 1 species
AGCGUACAAGGUGGAUGCCUUGGCAAUCAGAGGCGAAGAAGGACGUGCUAAUCUGCGAAAAGCUUGGAUGAGUCGAUAAGAGGCGUUUAAUCCAAGAUAUCCGAAUGGGGAAACCCAGUAGAUGAAGAAUCUACUAUCAACAAGUGAAUUCAUAGCUUGUUGAGGCAAACCGGGAGAACUGAAACAUCUAAGUACCCCGAGGAAAAGAAAUCAACCGAGAUUUCGUCAGUAGCGGCGAGCGAAAGCGAAAGAGCCAGUAAGUGAUAGCAGUAUAGUUAGGAGAAUGUGUUGGGAAGCACAAUCAAAGAGGGUGAUAAUCCCGUAUCUAAAAACCAUAUUGUGGUACUAAGCUAACGAGAAGUAGGGCGGGACACGUGAUAUCCUGUUUGAAGAAGGGGGGACCAUCCUCCAAGGCUAAAUACUCCUGAUUGACCGAUAGUGAACCAGUACUGUGAAGGAAAGGCGAAAAGAACCCCGGUGAGGGGAGUGAAAUAGAACCUGAAACCUUGUACGUACAAGCAGUGGGAGCCUGAAAGGGUGACUGCGUACCUUUUGUAUAAUGGGUCAGCGACUUAUAUUUUGUAGCGAGGUUAACUGAAUAAGGGAGCCGAAGGGAAACCGAGUCUUAACUGGGCGAGUAGUUGCAAGGUAUAGACCCGAAACCCGGUGAUCUAGCCAUGGGCAGGUUGAAGGUUGGGUAACACUAACUGGAGGACCGAACCGACUAAUGUUGAAAAAUUAGCGGAUGACUUGUGGCUGGGGGUGAAAGGCCAAUCAAACCGGGAGAUAGCUGGUUCUCCCCGAAAUCUAUUUAGGUAGAGCCUUGAGGUGACACCUUUGGGGGUAGAGCACUGUUUCGGCUAGGGGUCCAUCCCGGAUUACCAACCCGAUGCAAACUACGAAUACCAAAGAGUGAUACUCAGGAGACACACGGCGGGUGCUAACGUCCGUCGUGGAGAGGGAAACAACCCAGACCGCCAGCUAAGGUCCCCAAGUCUAUAUUAAGUGGGAAACGAAGUGGGAAGGCUUAGACAGCUAGGAUGUUGGCUUAGAAGCAGCCAUCAUUUAAAGAAAGCGUAAUAGCUCACUAGUCGAGUCGGCCUGCGCGGAAGAUGUAACGGGGCUCAAAUAUAGCACCGAAGCUGCGGCAUCAGGCGUAUCACUAAUACGCCUUACGAUUAACAAGCUAGAAUAGCGCGAAGCGUCAUGAAAGGUUGUUCAAGCGACCCGAACGUUGAGUCGGGUAUAUUUGAGUGAGGAUGAUUAGUGAUACGCCUGUUGGGUAGGGGAGCGUUGUGUAAGCGGAAGAAGGUUCAUCGAGAGGUGGGCUGGACGUAUCACAAGUGCGAAUGCUGACAUAAGUAACGAUAAAACGGGUGAAAAACCCGUUCGCCGGAAGACCAAGGGUUCCUGUCCAACGUUAAUCGGGGCAGGGUGAGUCGGCUCCUAAGGCGAGGCUGAAAAGCGUAGUCGAUGGGAAACAGGUUAAUAUUCCUGUACUUGGUAAAGCUGCGAUGUGGGGACGGAGUAGGUUAGGUUAUCGCACUGUUGGAUAUGUGCGUUUAAGUUGGUAGGUGGGAAGUUUAGGCAAAUCCGGACUUCCUUAACACAGAGAGAUGAUGACGAGGCUCUACGGAGCUGAAGUAACUGAUACCACACUUCCAGGAAAAGCCACUAAGCGAAAGGCUUUACUAAACCGUACUAAAAACCGACACAGGUGGUCAGGUAGAGAAUACUCAGGCGCUUGAGAGAACUCGGGUGAAGGAACUAGGCAAAAUAGCACCGUAACUUCGGGAGAAGGUGCGCCGGCGUAGAUUGUAGUCCCUAGCGGGCGAAGGUUGAACCGGUCGAAGAUACCAGCUGGCUGCAACUGUUUAUUAAAAACACAGCACUCUGCAAACACGAAAGUGGACGUAUAGGGUGUGAUGCCUGCCCGGUGCUGGAAGGUUAAUUGAUGGUGUCAUCGAAAGAGAAGCACCUGAUCGAAGCCCCAGUAAACGGCGGCCGUAACUAUAACGGUCCUAAGGUAGCGAAAUUCCUUGUCGGGUAAGUUCCGACCUGCACGAAUGGCAUAAUGAUGGCCAGGCUGUCUCCACCCGAGACUCAGUGAAAUUGAAAUCGCCGUGAAGAUGCGGUGUACCCGCGGCUAGACGGAAAGACCCCGUGAACCUUUACUAUAGCUUGACACUGAACAUUGAAUUUUGAUGUGUAGGAUAGGUGGGAGACUUAGAAGCAGUCACGCCAGUGAUUGUGGAGUCAUCCUUGAAAUACCACCCUUUAACGUUUGAUGUUCUAACGAAGAUUGCGGAACGCGGUCUCGGACAGUGUCUGGUGGGUAGUUUGACUGGGGCGGUCUCCUCCCAAAGCGUAACGGAGGAGCACGAAGGUUUGCUAAUCACGGUCGGACAUCGUGAGGUUAGUGCAAUGGUAUAAGCAAGCUUAACUGCGAGACAGACAAGUCGAGCAGGUACGAAAGUAGGUCAUAGUGAUCCGGUGGUUCUGAAUGGAAGGGCCAUCGCUCAACGGAUAAAAGGUACUCCGGGGAUAACAGGCUGAUACCGCCCAAGAGUUCAUAUCGACGGCGGUGUUUGGCACCUCGAUGUCGGCUCAUCACAUCCUGGGGCUGAAGUAGGUCCCAAGGGUAUGGCUGUUCGCCAUUUAAAGUGGUACGCGAGCUGGGUUUAGAACGUCGUGAGACAGUUCGGUCCCUAUCUGCCGUGGGCGUAGGAUGAUUGAUUGGGGCUGCUCCUAGUACGAGAGGACCGGAGUGGACGCAUCACUGGUGUUCCAGUUGUCUCGCCAGAGGCAUUGCUGGGUAGCUAAAUGCGGAAGAGAUAAGUGCUGAAAGCAUCUAAGCACGAAACUUGCCAAGAGAUGAGUCAUCCCUGACUUUAAGUCAGUAAGGGUUGUUGU